rnacentral:lncRNA from 1 species
AUCAUGCUUGUAUGGGAGGCAUAAAAACUAUGACAAAAAUUCUGGUCUGGAUCCCUUAAAAAGCCCCUGACCCUUUCCUUUGACCAAGGCCCCGAUCCUGUAGCUUGAGUAACUUAGGACGACAUUGGCAGACGUGAGAAAUGCCACUGAAAUCCAGGGAGCUCUCCUUGGAAGUAAUUCUCCACAGGAAGGCUGUGGGACUGGGACCUAGCCAAAUGAUAAGAUUAUUUGGAGCACCUUUGUGACAUUCUCUGGGACCUCUGCUUUCCAUUCAUGUUAAAAAAAAAAAAAAAGUGUAAAAGCAAUUUGGUGAUAAAUUACAUUUACUAUGAGCUUCAGCAUUCCUAGAGAUAAAGGAUUUUAUCCGCAUUCACCGAUAGGUAUGAACUUUUUAAGGCCACUUUUGUUCUUAAAACGAUAUAAACUAUUUCUGAGGAGCAUAGGAAUAAUCAUUUCUGUGUAACAGAUUGUGUGACUAAGGCCUGUAAAAUCUUAAAGGCAACAUUUGUUGUCUUUGUUAAGCUUUUAACACACUUGUGAGACCAUUCAAAAAUUAAGGAGCCUUUGGAAUCCAGGCUGGAUCAUGGGAUGUGUGUGGAUGCUGAAAGAAGGGUUUUGUAGAGCUCUCUGGACAAAAUGAGCAUGUUUUCUCCUUUACUGGGCAGAUCUCAACUUAUGGCUCCCUGGUCACAUCUUCAUAUUGUCGUUCUUUUCCAGUGCAUAAAGAAGAGAUCAGUUCCUUCUCUGGUAGCACUGUACAGGCAUUGUCUGACACCAUUUAAGGAUGAUUGUAAGAUUUAUCUACUUGGAAGUCCCGUGCUGUAUGACUGUAUGUCUUUCCUAGAAGAGUCUGAAACUUGAUGAGCUGGUCCGUACAUUACUUUGCAGCCUGCUGCAAAUGAAUUAUAUUUAGAACAGCUCUACAGAAUUCUGUUUGCAAAUGCCAUGAAUCUUGCAAACUAACUGGAUCUGAAAGUAAUGAAUUUGAAAAGAAAUUAGCCAGCUAUCACGUCUACCGUUUACCAGUGUAUAUAUAUAAAGUUAAGAUUUUAUCAUCUCUUUCUUUCCUCUAGUUUUUUUUUUUUUUUACUACAGCUGCUGUUGUAUGGUGGAUCAGUUGGUACACAUGAUGCACAGUCCUUGAUGAUUAAGAAGCUAAGUGAUGAUAGAGUGUGCUUAACUAUAAUGUGUAUGAAAACAGUAUUUUCAAAUUUUUAAUGAUCUGCUUCAGUACCA